UACGUAGGGUGCGAGCGUUGUCCGGAAUUAUUGGGCGUAAAGAGCUCGUAGGCGGUGUGUCACGUCGGCCGUGAAAACCUGCAGCUUAACUGUGGGCGUGCGGUCGAUACGGGCAUGACUGGAGUUCGGUAGGGGAGACUGGAAUUCCUGGUGUAGCGGUGAAAUGCGCAGAUAUCAGGAGGAACACCGGUGGCGAAGGCGGGUCUCUGGGCCGAUACUGACGCUGAGGAGCGAAAGCGUGGGGAGCGAACAGG
rnacentral:rRNA from 1 species